GAAGCAGAAAAUGAGACCAGAAAAAAGAAUUGCGAAAUUGUAUAAGAAGAUAGCUGACAAAGAUAUCAAUUACUCGAGGACAGGGUAGUGGUCAAAAGAAGACUGUUGACAGUGAUGAAGAGGAAUGGUGUAUUGGCUUAUUCAGUGACAAUGAAGAUUAUCAUAGAUUACCAGUUACUAGAGGAAGUGGUCAAAUGAAAGCUGUUCAUAGUGAGAAAGAAUUAUCGUGUAUCAGUGACAAUGAAGAUGGAUGUGGAUUGCCUGUUACUAGAGGGCUUGGGUGUCGUCAAUUGAAAGCUGUUCAUAGUGAGAAAGAAUUAUAUUGUAUCAGUGACAAUAAAGACUAACAAGGAUUACCAGUUAUUUGAGGCCGUGGUCAAAAGAAAGCA